AAGACAGCUACCGCCUAGAGAUCGGCCCAUGUCCCAUUAGCUUGUUGGUGAGGUAACGGCUCACCAAGGCGACGAUGGGUAGCUGGUCUGAGAGGAUGAUCAGCCACACUGGAACUGAGACACGGUCCAGACUCCUACGGGAGGCAGCAGUCGGGAAUAUUGGACAAUGGGCGCAAGCCUGAUCCAGUAACUCCGCGUGAGGGAUGAAGGCCCUAGGGUCGUAAACCUCUGUCGGGAGGGAAGAACGGUGAUAGUGCGAACAGUGCUAAGAGGUGACGGUACCUGACUAAGAAGCACCGGCUAAUUCCGUGCCAGCAGCCGCGGUAAUACGGAAGGUGCAAGCGUUGUUCGGAAUUACUGGGCGUAAAGCGCACGUAGGCGGGUGAGCAAGUCUAUUGUGAAAUCCCGGGGCUCAACCCAGGAAUUGCAGUCGAAACUGCUGAUCUUGAAUACCUGAGAGGGCGGGGGAAUUCCUGGUGGAGUAGUGAAAUACGUAGAUAUCAGGAGGAACACCAGAGGUGAAGACGCCUACCUGGCGGUGUACUGACGCUGAUGUGCGAAAGCGUGGGGAUCAAACAGGAUUAGAUACCCUGGUAGUCCACGCUGUAAACGAUGGAUACUAGGUGUUCGGGGCAUUAACCCUCUGAGUACCAAAGUUCACACAAUAAGUAUCCCGCCUGGGGAGUACGGUCGCAAGGCUAAAACUCAAAGGAAUUGACGGGGGCCCGCACAAGCGGUGGAGUAUGUGGUUUAAUUCGAAGCAACGCGAAGAACCUUACCUGGCCUUGACAUUGCGUGACCGCCACAGAGAUGUGGUUUCCCCUUCGGAGACUCAAAGACAGGUGCUGCAUGGCUGUCGUCAGCUCGUGUUGUGAAAUGUUCGGUUAAGUCCGGCAACGAGCGCAACCCCUGUCCUUAGUUACCACCAUUAAGUUGGGGACUCUAGGGAGACUGCCGGUGUUAAACCGGAGGAAGGCGGGGAUGACGUCAAGUCCUCAUGGCCCUUACGCCCAGGGCUACACACGUACUACAAUGGCAGAAACAAACCGUCGCUAAGCCGCGAGGUGGAGCUAAUCGGUAAAACACUGUCUAAGUCCGGAUUGGAGUCUGCAAUUCGACUCCAUGAAGUUGGAAUCGCUAGUAAUCGCAGAUCAGCACGCUGCGGUGAAUACGUUCCCGGGCCUUGUACACACCGCCCGUCACACCACGAAAGUAGUCAUGGCCAGAAGUGCGCGAGCUAACUUCGGAAG
rnacentral:rRNA from 1 species